AACGAACGCUGGCGGCAUGCCUAACACAUGCAAGUCGAACGAGACCUUCGGGUUUAGUGGCGCACGGGUGCGUAACGCGUGGGAACCUGCCCUUAGGUUCGGAAUAACUCCCCGAAAGGGGUGCUAAUACCGGAUAAUGUCUUCGGACCAAAGAUUUAUCGCCUUUGGAUGGGCCCGCGUUGGAUUAGCUAGUUGGUAGGGUAAAAGCCUACCAAGGCGACGAUCCAUAGCUGGUCUGAGAGGAUGAUCAGCCACACUGGGACUGAGACACGGCCCAGACUCCUACGGGAGGCAGCAGUGGGGAAUAUUGGACAAUGGGCGAAAGCCUGAUCCAGCAAUGCCGCGUGAGUGAUGAAGGCCUUAGGGUUGUAAAGCUCUUUUACCCGGGAAGAUAAUGACUGUUCCGGGAGAAUAAGCCCCGGCUAACUCCGUG
rnacentral:rRNA from 1 species